rnacentral:rRNA from 1 species
CAGAGGUGGCAAGCGUUGUUCGGAAUUACUGGGCGUAAAGGGCGCGUAGGCGGCCUCCUAAGUCAGACGUGAAAUCCCCCGGCUUAACCUGGGAACUGCGUCUGAUACUGGGGGGCUUGAGUGCGGGAGAGGGAUGCGGAAUUCCAGGUGUAGCGGUGAAAUGCGUAGAUAUCUGGAGGAACACCGGUGGCGAAGGCGGCAUCCUGGACCGACACUGACGCUGAGGCGCGAAAGCUAGGGUAGCAAACGGGAUUAGAUACCCCGGUAGUCCUAGCCCUAAACGAUGAGUGCUUGGUGUGGCGGGUAUCGAUCCCUGCCGUGCCGAAGCUAACGCAUUAAGCACUCCGCCUGGGGAGUACGGUCGCAAGGCUG